rnacentral:misc_RNA from 1 species
AAUCGUGUUUAUUAUAUUUACAUAAAAUGAGUGAUAACAGAUCGGCAGUAACUUGCUAUGUAUGUGGUAAACAGUUCUCGACAGCGGGGAACUUCAGAAGACAUUUAAAAGCCAAGCAUCUUCUGGGCGACAAAUUGGACAAAGGAAAACCGUCGUUGCCUGGUGAACAUAUAAAGGGUGUUGGUGAACUGAAUUUUUCCCAGCCAAAACAAUAUAGUCAAAACCUCAGUCAAAACCCUUACAUUGUUUGUCAUAUAUGCAAUAAAACAUUUAUGUCACCAUCAAAUUUUAGAAGGCAUUUAAAAAAUAAGCAUACUGAAGAGAAAGAAGAAAACGACACAAUUCCCAUAACUUUCUGUCCUGAAAAAAUCUCUCGGAUAAAAGAACUCAAACGAUCAAGUGGAAUUAAAAAUAUUUGUUAUGUACGCGGAACCCAACUUUUAUCUACUCAGAGUAUGAAAAGGCACAUGAGAAGUCAACAUAAUAUUGCUGAAUCUUUAAAACACAGAUUAAGAUGCCUUGAACCCUUUUGUAGUUUUCAAUGUAAUAGAUUGGAUAGUCUUCGACAUCAUUUGGAAAGCAAACAUGAUUUACAGCAAGAAGUAGAAGACCUAAAAUUUGAGAACAUGCAAGAGUUUUACAAAUGGAAAAAUUCUGAAGAGAGUGAUUCCACUGCUAGGUGGAUUAAGGCAUGUGGUACAAAAAAUCAAAGAAAUGGUACACCUAUUUAUUUUUAUUGCAAUAGAAGUGGAAAGAGAAGAGUACUUGAUGCUGGUAAAAGAAAACGAGCCAUGAAGUCACAGGGUUCUUGUAAAAUAGACGCUUCUUGCACAUCUGCAAUUAUUCUCAAACAUGUGGCAGAGGGCAUCAAAAUAAAAUAUUUUAAGACUCACUAUGGUCAUGACAAAAAAAUGGCUCACAUUCCCUUAUCUAAAGAUGAUAAAAAUAUGAUUGCUUCUCAGUUAAUACAAGGAGUUUCCCACACUGAGAUAUUAAAAAAAAUAAGACAGAGUCUUGACAUUAACUUCGAAAGAAUACAUUUGACGACUAAGCACGAUAUUCACAAUAUCAUGCAAUCAUAUAAUUUGCAUGAUACAGCUAUAAGGCAUCAAAAUGACUCGCAAAGUGUAGAUUUGUGGGUGAAUCAAGUACAAUCCAGCAAUGAAAAUUGCAUUUUAUUGUACAAAAAACAAGGAGAAGAUCAUCCUAGCUUUUGUUUAAAAAAUGAAGACUUUUUAUUGGGUUUAAUGACUAACUGUCAAGGCGAGAUGUUAAAAAAGUUUGGAAUUGGAGGUAUCAUAUGCAUGGAUGCUACACAUGGAACAAACCCAUAUGAUUUUAAGCUAGUUUCAAUUUUGGUGGUGGAUGAUUUUGGGGAAGGCUUUCCAGUAGCAUACUUAUUUUCAAAUAGGGAAGAUUAUGUAGUUUUAAAAUAUUUUGUAACUGCUGUAAAAGAAUCUGUUGGGACUAUUAGGGCUGCAUCAUUCAUGAGUGAUGAUGCAGAACAGUAUUUUGCAGCUUGGAGCUCGGUAAUGGAUACUGUUGAAACCAAAAAACUUUUAUGCAUGUGGCAUGUUGACAGAGCCUGGAGAUCCAAAGUAAUAGCCAUAAAAGACAAAUCUAAACAAGCUCAAGUAUAUAAAAUAUUAUGCACCUUAAGACAAGAAGCAGAUUUCACCAAGUUUAAUGAAUAUUUAAUAGGAUUUAUGAACGUAUUAUCAAAAGAUCCAGAUUUAAGAAUAUUUAAGGACUAUUUUGAGAAAGAGUAUCUACCUAGAUGUUUAGUAUGGGCUGCUUGUUUUCGAGUAGGAACAGGAAUUAAUACAAAUAUGUAUCUUGAGUCCAUGCAUAAAGUUUUAAAAUAUAUCUACUUGAAAGGUAUCUUAUUUUUUUAUUGUUUGAAACUUGAAUAAAAUAAGUAAUGGAUAUUAAUGCUAAUUUUAGGUGUUGCUUGUAGAAGAUUGGAUAAAACUGUGCAUGUUCUAUUACAAUAUGUGAAGGACAAACAAUUUGAAAGAAUUAUCAAGUUGGAAAAAAGCAAAGUCACUACAAAAAUAAGCAGGAUCAACAAAAGCCAUAUCAAUGCAAUAAAUUCCACAAAUAUGAUUGUUUCUACUUGUGAAAAUGGGUGGAUUGUAACAUCUAAAGACAUCCCAUAUCUUGUGACAGAGAAUAAGCUCAACGAAGGUCAUACAUGUAAAUUGAAAUGCUCCUCAUGCCUAUUCUGUGUUCACAUGUAUACAUGUAAUUGCAUGGAUUUUGUUGUAAAUUAUAAUAUGUGCAAACAUAUUCAUAAGAUAUGCAUGAAUAUGCCAGGACAAAGCACAUUUGUAGAUGAAAACCGUAAUGAAGAACUAACAUAUCAUAAAUCAUCAUUAAAAAAUCCAAACAUAAGUAACAUUGACAAUAAAAUUAGAGAGAAUAUUAAUUAUCUUCAAUGUUUUGACUGGAGGAAUAUCACAGAUCCCCAAAUAAAAAAUAAAAUAAACAGUUUUCUUCUAUCUGCUGUAAAACUAGCUGAUAUAAAAAGUGAUGCAAGAUUUACCUUAUCUCCAAAAAAUAUAGCCGGUCCAGCGAAUAAAAAAAUUGUAGCUCAGAAUCGAUUUUUUUCUACAAAAAAAAAGAAGACAAAGAAGACAUAUACUCCUCGACUGGCGAAACCAAACCUACAGGAGAAAAAAGAUAUACAGGCGCAGUUGGAAAACAUUUUAUAAGAGUGUUGGAUAUAUAUAUUUUUUUAAUAUAAUACAUGAUAUAAAUGUAAUUAGUG